rnacentral:tRNA from 1 species
GCCUGAGUAGCUCAGUGGUAGAGCAACGCAUUCGUAAUGCGUAGGUCGCGAGUUCGACUCUCGCCUCAGGCU